rnacentral:rRNA from 1 species
UACGAAGGGGACUAGCGUUGUUCGGAAUCACUGGGCGUAAAGCGCACGUAGGCGGAUUUGUAAGUCAGGGGUGAAAUCCCGGGGCUCAACCUCGGAACUGCCUUUGAUACUAUUUAUCUUGAAUAUUGUUGAGGUAGGCGGAAUAUAUCAUGUAGCGGUGAAAUGCUUAGAUAUGAUAUAGAACACCGAUUGCGAAGGCAGCUUACUAAACAAUUAUUGACGCUGAGGCACGAAAGCGUGGGUAGCAAACAGG